rnacentral:snRNA from 1 species
AGCUGUGCACAGUGGCAGUGUCAUAGCCAAUGAGUCGAUCAGAGGCAUGAUUAUUGCUAAUAGAAACCCCAACCCAACUCACUGCCAUCGAGCCCAUUCUGACUCACAGUGACUGGACAUCAGGUUUCCCGUACUGGAAAUCUUUGCUGGAGUGAACCCACU